rnacentral:rRNA from 1 species
UACGGAGGGUGCAAGCGUUAUCCGGAUUCACUGGGUUUAAAGGGUGCGUAGGUGGGCUAGUAAGUCCGUGGUGAAAUCUCCAAGCUUAACUUGGAAACUGCCGUGGAUACUAUUAGUCUUGAAUAUUGUGGAGGUAAGCGGAAUACGUCAUGUAGCGGUGAAAUGCUUAGAUAUGACAUAGAACACCGAUAGCGAAGGCAGCUUGCUACACAAUCAUUGACACUGAGGCACGAAAAGCGUGGGGGAGCAAACAGG